rnacentral:pre_miRNA from 1 species
GGUGAGAGGCGGGAUCCUGGGCUGUGUCCCCAGGGCCCUGUGCUCCCGGGCCUGCGCUGCUGGAAUGGUGCUCCUGGCUGCACAGCCCCCC